CAGUAGCCGCGGGAAAACCGAGGGUGCAAGCGUUAAUCGGAAUUACUGGGCGUAAAGCGCGCGUAGGUGGUUUGUUAAGUUGGAUGUGAAAUCCCCGGGCUCAACCUGGGAACUGCAUCCAAAACUGGCAAGCUAGAGUAUGGUAGAGGGUGGUGGAAUUUCCUGUGUAGCGGUGAAAUGCGUAGAUAUAGGAAGGAACACCAGUGGCGAAGGCGACCACCUGGACUGAUACUGACACUGAGGUGCGAAAGCGUGGGGAGCAAACAGGAUUAGAUACCCCCGUAGUCCCUGUCUCUUAUAA
rnacentral:rRNA from 1 species